rnacentral:lncRNA from 1 species
CCAGCGGCCAAGUCAAGACUCCUUGAAUGCUCAGGAAGGUGUGACUUGCAGAGGAGUUGAUUCCUUCUUAUGUACAUUUACUGGAGAAGUUUACAGCAGGAGACUGGGGUCUGAGACACACGCAUCUUUGUGUGCCCCAAAGAAUAAAGCCCUCAAAGGAUGUGAAGCCUGAACUCACUUCAAAUGCUGGAAAGGCCCUUUCCUUAGCUGAGCUGUGGAGGAACCAGGACUCCUGUGGCACUGCCCUAACGAGGAGGCAGUGCUGCCAGAUUCAGGUCUGCAAGACAGCUUUGAUUCAGCUGAUUUCAGCCAGGCUCACCCCGACUUUGCAGGGCGCUG